rnacentral:rRNA from 1 species
GAUGAACGCUAGCUACAGGCUUAACACAUGCAAGUCGAGGGGUAACGAGAGGAAAGCUUGCUUUCCUUGUCGACGACCGGCGCACGGGUGAGUAACGCGUAUCCAACCUGCCCCCAACUAGGGAAUAACCUUGCGAAAGUAAGACUAAUACCCUAUAAUUUCCUCAGAUGCCAUCUGACGAGGAAUAAAGAUUUAUCGGUUGUGGAUGGUGAGGCGUCUGAUUAGCUUGUUGGCGGGGUAACGGCCCACCAAGGCAACGAGCAGUAGGGGUUCUGAGAGGAAGGUCCCCCACAUGAGAACUGAGACACGGACCAAACUCCUACGGGAGGCAGCAGUGAGGAAUAUUGGUCAAUGGGCGGAAGCCUGAACCAGCCAAGUAGCGUGCAGGAUGACGACCCUAUGGCUUGUAAACUGCUUUUAUACAGGAAUAAAGUUAGCCACGUGUGGUUAUUUGUAGGUACUGUAUGAAUAAGGACCGGCUAAUUCCGUGCCAGCAGCCGCCGUAA